rnacentral:lncRNA from 1 species
UUUAUUCAUGGGAGACACAGAGAGAGGGAGGCAGAGACACAGGAGGAGGGAGAAGCAGGCUCCAUGCAGGGAGCCCGACGUGGGACUCCAUCCCGGGUCUCCAGGAUCAGGCCCUGGGCCUAAGGCAGAUGCUCCACUGCUGAGCUCCCCGGGCGUCCCAAAUAGGCAGUCUUUAGUGUGAGAUGCAGGAGAGCAGAGAGCCCUAGCACAGUUCCGUUCAGAAUAGACUACGCUUCCACAGACUAAACACACACAUAUCAUUUUGUAUUAGAUUCAACAGUGUCGUAAGUAGUAAUGGGUAUCCCACGACCGGUGCGAAAAGAUUUGAUUUCCUCAUUAGCUACCAAGGGAGUAGCAAAUGCCAACCUCUCAAUUUCCUCACUUGUAAAACAGGGAUAACAGGCAGGGAUGCAAAUGAAAAGCCUGGCAUCAUACCUGUUGUAUAAUAGGUUCUCUCUCUCCCUUCCCCCAUCUUAACAAAGAUCAGAGAUUAGGCAUAUCUAUAGGCAUCCUUUAAAAACUAGGGCUUCUCGAUCCUUAAUGUGUAGACCAGUUCCCUGGGGCAUCCUGUUGAAAGUGCAGAUUCUUUUUUUUUUUUUUUAAGAUUUUAUUUAUUCAGUUAUGAUAGACACAAAGAGGGGCGGGGGGCAGAGACACAGGCAGAGGGAGAAGCAGGCUCCAUGCCGGGAACCUGACGUGGGAAUUGACGUGGGACUUGACGUGGGACUUGACCCUGGGGCUGCAGAAUCAUACCCUGGGCCAAAGACAGGCGCUAAACUGCUGAGCCACCCAGGGAUCCCCAAAAGUGCAGAUUCUGCUUCAGUGGAGUUGGGGCCCGGGGUUCUGUAUUCCCGACAAGCUUCCAGGGUAAUGACAUGCUGCUGAGCUGGGAUCACUCUUUGAGUAGCAAGAAUUUAACACAAUGCAAAUUCCAAAAACACAGUUACUGCACAAAAAGCCCCUCAGUGGGCUCCAUGGUUUGUCUCUUUCUAUAAAAAAAUUAACUCUUCUACUGAACGCCUCAUGUGGAGUCACUUCCCCAACCAAGUAACCAGGCCAGGUUAUAAAGAAUACAUCUUUUGGCGCAGGAGGGUUCACAGCACUACUUCUGCGGGAAGAUCUUGCAAUGGUCUCUCCACCGCUUCUGGCUUUUUGAUCUUAGCCUUUUCCUCUGAUGAUAAUUACCCUUUAAUUAGCACCCACCACUCUGUCAUCUGAGUAAUUAUAGUAAGUGCAGCUUGCACCUCUGCUGGCAAUCUCUAAACGAAAAAAUGAUAAAAUAAGAUCCUGUAUGCUGAUGUUUUUUAAAAAGGCCCAAACUGACCCAAAUACAAGUUUCUGCACACACUGCCCAACACAGACCUGCUAUAACUUCCAGUCCUGUAAGCCAUCGAGAGUUGGUUUAUUUUGAAACAACCAGGACAAAGUACGGUCAUGAUAUUUUGGAAAACUGUAGAUGUCAGAAUACAAAUUUUGCCAGCUGCUGCAGCAGCAGCAGCAGUGCAAAAGCAAAAACAAUUCAGGCAUUAUAAACUCCACCUUAAAUUCCUA